AAUCCCUCCAGUGAGAGCGGGCCUGCAUCAUCCGCUGCUCGGCCCUGAUUGGCCCAGAGCUCAGGAGAUGCCUGGAAUACAGAAUCCAGAGGCAGUAAACCGACGUGACCCUUUCAUCCCCCAUUAGUAUGCGAGGCCAGCUCCGGCAGCCGGGGGGCACCCCGUGGACAGCGACCGGCGAGCGAGCCUCUCUCUCCCUGAGACUCAGGCGAUGCCUCUGGGACACCUCCGACGCAGAUAAGCGUCCCUGGGGGGUUUCACCGCGGAGGUGCCUGCGAGGGGCAUGUCUGGGGCGUGUUUUCCCACGGGCAGGCUGGGAGCGAUUCACCAAUAAGACAGGAGGAAAAACAACACAAUCCCUUUCUACGUGGGAACGGAGGAGGAGAAGGUGCAAUCAGCUCAUUCUCAUGGAGCCAGCUGUGCUUCUUAUUGCCAUUGGGAUCAGGAGGCCUUCAAAACAACCUGUUUCUCUGCGUAACCCCCUCUUGGCGAGGAAAACGGGGAGGUCCUGCUCCUGAUCCUGGCUCUCCAGGAGGAUCCGGGGGGGUCUGACCAGGGCCGGGCGUGGGGCUCACUGCCCCCAGAACAGGCCUGAGAAACAAACACGAAUGGUCUCUUCUCUACAACAUUCAUCAGUGACAAUCAAGAGAAGAUCAGGAGUUGUUCUCUCGAAAGACUGGAAAUCAUUCCGGAGCAGCUAAUUUUGCUGACCAGGGAAUGGUCCUCCUUCAGAACACUGGGUG